AAUUAGCCCCGAUGGUAAUGGAAAUCCUUUCUAGUGCUGAUUUUUCAGCACUAGAAAGAUUGUAAUGUACAGCGGGAGGAAUG
rnacentral:sRNA from 1 species